AGGACGCAGCGAAUCGCGAUAAGUAAUGUGAAUUGCAGAUUUUCCGUGAAUCAUCGAAUCUUUGAACGCACCUUGCGCUCCUUGGUAUUCCGAGGAGCAUGCCUGUUUGAGUGUCAUCGAAAAUCUCAAGCCAAGCUGUUUUG
rnacentral:rRNA from 1 species